UUUUUUUUUUUUUUUUUUUUUGAUGGAGCCAACAGGAGUGACCAGAACCUGGUCCCCGCUCCAGUGGUUGUUUUUGGUUUUUUCCUCCUGUUCUUCCCCGCCGCUCCUUCUUCUGCCUUUUUUCGUCCCUUGUUAUGUCAGAAGAAAUUUCUGGGAUUUCAGGAGACUGCUUUUGAUGUUUUAGCUUAUUUAACUUUUCACUGUGGAAAAAAUUUUAAACAUAUACAAAAGUAACUCCAAGUACCUGUUGUCCAACUUGUCUGUUAGUGUCUUAUUUCAGCUCUACCCCAGCCACUGCCUGCGUACCUUACAGGGUUAUUUUAAAGGAAAUCUCAGAUAGCGUAUCAUUCUGUCCUUAAAUAUUUAGUACCUGUCUCUGUAAGGAUUCUUUUUUUAAAAAAUUCAUAACCACAGUACCAUUGUGGUACCUAAAAAAUAGAAAAACAGUAAUUCCAAAAUAUCAUCAUACAUGUAGUCAGUGGUACCUGCUUAAUGCCGAGAUUCCAGUGUUUCUUGAUUUUGUUUUUUUCCUUUUUACACACUGUUUUAUGAUUUAUGGUCCAACUCUAUCUGAAAUCACAGUGGUUUGCAGUUUUACAGCUUGCAACAUCCACUUGUAAAGGUACCACGGGGGAAAAUACAAUUCAUCGAGUCAUUUGUAUUAUUGCGAAGGCAUAAAGCAGUCUUUCUGCAGAGUUGUUUGAGGAAUUUGGCUGACAAAGAAGUGACAGAAUAGAAAAUCAUUUUUAGAGCUGUACCAAGCCACUGAUGUCAAAUGCGUAACAGUGUUGGUGGGAGAAAUACUUAAGCUGUGUUUACCGAAUGUCAUAGAUUAUUUUCAGAUUGCAUAAAGUUAACAAACAGAUACAUUUAGAAAGAAAAAAAUCGUGUCAAGGCAAUAUGACCAAACUCUAAGGAAUUUUUAAAAUAAAAGCUAACGAUGAAAUAGAAGCAGUAUAAGAAUUUAUGUGUGAUGAAUGGACUGAGAAAUGCUAUUUAAUUCAGUUUAGUUACUGAACACGGAAUGUGUUAGUGUAUCUCAGUGUAAACAAUAGGGACACAUAGAAUUUGUAUACAAACCUCAAUUUUGAAUAUCAGUUUCUUGGAAAAUUAAAGACAAAGACAUUGAUCAAGAAAAGUAGAGAAACCAGUCUCAUCCAAGUUGAGUUUAAGUUAAACCUCUUGAAAAUUAGGUCAAUUUAUGUCUUUAAUGCAGAAUGACUUGGUACACAUUUUUAUGUUAUGAAAUAAAACCUCAUUCCUAUAUGUUCUUACCAGCUGUUAGAAAUAGACAGCUGUGGCCUGGCCAGAGGUAAAACGCUGAUGGGAGAGCCAGCCUGCUCUCAAAGACUGUGUUUGAAAAGAAAUUCAGCUGCAGUCAUUUAAAAAAUUUAUUUUAAGAACUCUAUGUAUGUGUAUCAGUCUUCAGUUUCUUGCUUAUGCUGUACCAUGAGCUGUCCCAAAAGAAGAAGGGGCAGAACCCUGCAGACACUUACUGUCUUCAGUUUUUUUCCUCUUUCCUCUAAAGAGCCUUUCUGGAGAAUUUUUUCUGAUUGGAACUUGUGGCCUUCUCUGCUCCUAGAGACAAAAGCACGCCACCCAGGGUUGUUUACAGCUUGGUUUCUUUUAUGGAACUGUGCAUAUUUAAUGGCCGUAAGGAUUUGGCAGAUGUUUUUUUCCCUUCGAAACUUGUUCUUUAUCAUAGUUCAACAGUUUGCGAGGGGCACCUCUGCUGUUGAGCAGAGGGAAAUGUCUGGUGAUGUAGAGCAGUUCUCAGUCCUUUUUUCUGUUGCAUCUUCUAGGUGAAGGGUGAUGUUUCUUACAUUCCCAAGUUAGGGGCAGAUUCCCGUAGUUCCGGGACUGUGGCGUCAGUGCUGUAGAUGCUCUCAGUGUCUUCCCCCAGCCCCUCAGCCCUUGCUGUUUCUGUGCAUGUGGCCGACUUCUCAAUCUCAGCAUCGGUGUCUCUGCCUGAGAGCUCUCUCUGCUGGCCUGGAGGGCUGGUCAGAAAUGCCAGGGUAUUAACCUUCACUCUGGGAGCAGCCCUCAACCAGUAUCUGACAGGAGCUGGUGGGUCAAUACCCAGCUCCCCUAACCCUCAGGUGACGUGGCCCUGGGCACGCCUCUGCUCUGCCUUGAUUCGGAGAAUGAAAAUGAUGUCUUUGUAGGGAUUUCCUUGGCACACAUCCCCCUAAAAUCAUGGCCCAGAUAUGGUAUUAUAAGCCUAUUAAACUAAUGUCCUACUUCACGACUGACUCUGUCUACUUAUGCUAGCUUUUUUGUGAAAGUUCUGAUGUGUUCUUUGAUCUUCAGCCUUCUCUCUUGGAGGGUCUGUGCAUCCAAGAGACUUUAAAUCCGAGUAUGAUUCCUAAGGAUACCACAUGUAAUGCAGACUUUAAUAGACCCAAAUAUCCUGAGAUGGAGGUUCAGGAAGAUAUUACAUUAUUUCAUUAAAAAAUCUUUUCUUGGCUGUGACUCAUGGAAGUCCCCUGGCCAGGGAUCGAACCCACACCACAGCAGCUACCCAAGCCACUGCAGGGACACCACCAGCUCUUUAACCUGCACUGAGCCACAAGAGAACUCCGGAAAAUUUAAAAUAGGAAGCCACGAUGUCAUUUUAGGCACACCAUUUUUUUUUUCAUGGCUCUGCCACUGCACACAUUGCCUUUUCUCCGCUAAUCACUGUCCGCUGCUGUCCCCGCGAGCUGCCCGUUGUCAUUGCGACCGGCUCCUGUCAUCCUCGUCAUCUGUCUCUGCUCCCACCAGGAUGACCGGCCACACUGCUUUUGUCUCCACUGGGCAUGUAUUACCUUUUCCCCUCAGUCCCCAAGGGCAGUCCCACCCUUUUUUAAAAUUUAAUUUUCUUUUUCUUUUUUUUUAAUCCCACCCUUUUCAUCCUUGCCCCUCUCUUCACUUGGACUUCUCCAGCUCCUUCGUGAGCUGUUGUUAGGAUUCCAAUAAAACUCUCACAUUCUGCCCCUGGUCUCUUUGGGACUCACCUGGUCUUUCACUUAUGCAGUUUCUCUGUAUUCUCCAGCUUUUUGAAAUAACUACUUCAAAGCCAUAGAACUUCUCCAUUAGAAUAUAAUUUACUCAGGAAGACAGUUGCAAGGGGAAAAUAAUACACAGUACCUCAUUAGCUGAAAAGAACUAUCAUUUGUUGGAAACAAUUUCAAGACUAGAAAGUCUGUGAAAAGAAAUUCAAAUAAAUUAACUGCAUCACUGAUUCCACUGACAUUCCCUUUCCACAGAGCCUUUACUUGUUUCGAAGUCUUGUCAGAAAAAAAUAUUAAAAGUAUGUUAAGUGGGAAAAAGAACAAUUAAUGGGAGUCUUUGUGAUGAUAAGUUUUACCAGACUGUGUCUCACAAAGAUAACCCACAGUCU
rnacentral:lncRNA from 1 species